GCAAAACGCGAAGAACCUUACCAGGGCUUAAAUGUAGUUUGACGUUAUUGGAAACAGUAAUUUCUUCGGACAAAUUACAAGGUGCUGCAUGGUUGUCGUCAGCUCGUGCCGUGAGGUGUCAGGUUAAGUCCUAUAACGAGCGCAACCCCUGUUAUUAGUUGCCAGCGAGUCAUGUCGGGAACUCUAACAAGACUGCCAGUGUAAACUGCGAGGAAGGUGGGGAUGACGUCAAAUCAUCACGGCCCUUACGUCCUGGGCCACACACGUGCUACAAUGGACGGUACAGAGAGCAGCCACUUAGCAAUAAGGAGCGAAUCUAUAAAACCGUUCUCAGUUCGGAUCGGAGUCUGCAACUCGGCUCCGUGAAGCUGGAAUCGCUAGUAAUCGGAUAUCAGCCAUGAUCCGGUGAAUACGUUCCCGGGUCUUGUACACACCG
rnacentral:rRNA from 1 species